UCAGAAAUAUAGAAUUGCUGUUGAACGAAUUGACAGCUCUAUUUUCCUUUCCCACGAGUAGGAUUUCCAAUUCCCAAACUGGACAUGCUUUCUCAACUAGAAGGAGGAGAAGAACAAUGGGUCCCUGACCCCCAGGACUUAGAGGAGAGGGACAUUCUGAGGGUCACAUAUACAGGAGAUGGAAGUGAACAUGAGGGGGAUACCCCUGAACUAGAAGCAGAACCUCCCAGAAUGUUAUCCAGCGUGUCUGAAGAUACUGUUCUCUGGAACCCGGAGCAUGAUGAGAGCUGGGAUUCCAUGCCCAGGAGCUCCAGAGGAAUGCUCCUGGGGCCCCCUUUUCUUCAGGAAGAUAGUUUCUCAAACCUGCUGUGUAGCACAGAGAUGGAUUCCCUGUUAAGACCCCACACAUGCCCCCAGUGUGGGAAACAGUUUGUAUGGGGCU
rnacentral:sRNA from 1 species